GGACCAGACCCAGUGGCCACAACCAGGACCCUUUGGUCCCUGGACUCCUCUUCAUGUGGACAACUGGCCAGAGUGCCCUGACUGGAGUAUUGGUGAAGAUUAAUGCAAUUUGAAGAACUUCGAAAAGAAGAAGCAAGCUGUUCGUGUACAGGAUGACUCAACCAGGAAAGUUCAGUGUAUACAACUGGUCACUUAAAGAUUUGUCUUCAAGAAGCAAAAGCAGGCCUGCAAAGUAUCUGAAGCAACUUUGGACAUGAGGAACAUACUACAG
rnacentral:lncRNA from 1 species